GACAGAGGUGCCGAGCGUUAGGCGGAAUCACUGGGCUUAAAGCGCGUGUAGGCGGACCGUUAAGUGUCCCGUGAAAUCCCCCGGCUCAACCGGGGAACGGCGGGGCAUACUGGCGGCCUUGAGCAACCUAGGGGCGAGCGGAACAGGCGGUGGAGCGGUGAAAUGCGUAGAUAUCGCCUGGAACGCCGACGGUGAAAACAGCUCGCUGGGGGUUCGCUGACGCUGAGACGGCGAA
rnacentral:rRNA from 1 species